GUGAACGCUGGCGGUAGGCCUAACACAUGCCAGUCGCACGGCAGCACAGUAAGAGCUUGCUCUUACGGGUGGCGAGUGGCGGACGGGUGAGGAAUACAUCGGAAUCUACUUUUUCGUGGGGGAUAACGUAGGGAAACUUACGCUAAUACCGCAUACGACCUACGGGUGAAAGCAGGGGAUCUUCGGACCUUGCGCGAUUGAAUGAGCCGAUGUCGGAUUAGCUAGUUGGCGGGGUAAAGGCCCACCAAGGCGACGAUCCGUAGCUGGUCUGAGAGGAUGAUCAGCCACACUGGAACUGAGACACGGUCCAGACUCCUACGGGAGGCAGCAGUGGGGAAUAUUGGACAGUGGGCGCAAGCCUGAUCCAGCCAUACCGCGUGGGUGAAGAAGGCCUUCGGGUUGUAAAGCCCUUUUGUUGGGAAAGAAAAGCAGCAGGUUAAUACCCCGCUGUUCUGACGGUACCCAAAGAAUAAGCACCGGCUAACUUCGU
rnacentral:rRNA from 1 species